rnacentral:rRNA from 1 species
UACGGGGGGAGCAAGCGUUGUUCGGAAUCACUGGGCGUAAAGGGCGCGUAGGCGGCUUUUCAAGUCGGGGGUGAAAGCCUGUGGCUCAACCACAGAAUUGCCUUCGAUACUGUUAGGCUUGAGACCGGAAGAGGUGAGUGGAACUGCGAGUGUAGAGGUGAAAUUCGUAGAUAUUCGCAAGAACACCAGUGGCGAAGGCGGCUCACUGGUCCGGUUCUGACGCUGAGGCGCGAAAGCGUGGGGAGCAAACAGG